rnacentral:rRNA from 1 species
GAUGAACGCUGGCGGCGUGCCUAAUACAUGCAAGUCGAGCGAACAGACGAGAGUGCUUGCACUCUCUGACGUUAGCGGCGGACGGGUGAGUAACACGUGGGUAACCUACCUAUAAGACUGGGAUAACUUCGGGAAACCGGAGCUAAUACCGGAUAAUAUUUAGCUUCGCAUGAAGCAAUAGUGAAAGACGGUUCUGCUGUCACUUAUAGAUGGACCCGCGGUGUAUUAGCUGGUUGGUGAGGUAACGGCUCACCAAGGCAACGAUACAUAGCCGACCUGAGAGGGUGAUCGGCCACACUGGGACUGAGACACGGCCCAGACUCCUACGGGAGGCAGCAGUAGGGAAUCUUCCGCAAUGGACGAAAGUCUGACGGAGCAAAGCCGCGUGAGUGAAGAAGGUUUUCGGAUCGUAAAACUCUGUUGUAAGGGAAGAACAAGUACGUUAGUAACUGAACGUACCUUGACGGUACCUUACCAGAAAGCCACGGCUAACUACGUG